GUCACGGCUAAUCUACGUGCCAGCAGCCGCUGUAAUACGUAGGUGGCAAGCGUUUCCGGAAUUAUCGGGCGUAAAGCGCGCGUAGGCGGCUUUUUAAGUCUGAUGUGAAAGCCCACGGCUCACCCGUGGAGGGUCAUGGAAACUGGAAAACUUGAGUGCAGAAGAGGAAAGUGGAAUUCCAUGUGUAGCGGUGAAAUGCGCAGAGAUAUGGAGGAACACCAGUGGCGAAGGCGAUUUUUUGGUCUGUAACUGACGCUGAUGUGUGAAAGCGUGGGGAUCAAACAGGAUUAGAUACCGUGGUAGUCCACGCUGUAAACGAUGAGUGCUAAGUGUUAGGGGGUUUCCGCCCCUUAGUGCUGCAGCUAACGCACUAAGCACUCACGCNUGGGGAGUACGACCGCAAGGUUGAAACUCAAAGGAAUUGACGAGGACCCGCACAAGCGGUGGAGCACGUGGUUUAAUUUGAAGCAACGCGAAGAACCUUACCAAAUCUUGACAUCCUUGGACAACUCUAGAGAUAGAGCUUUCCCCUUCGGGGGACAAAGUGACAGGUGGUGCAUGGUUGUUGUCAGCUCGUGUCGUGAGAUGUUGGUUUAAGUCCCGCAACGAGCGCAACCCUUAAGCUUAGUCGCCAUCAUUAACUUGGGCACUGUAAGUUGACUGCCGGUGACAAACCGGAGGAAGGUGGGGAUGACGUCAAAUCAUCAUGCCCCUUAUGAUUUGGGCUACACACGUGCUACAAUGGACAAUACAAAGGGCAGCGAAACCGCGAGGUCAAGCAAAUCCCAUAAAGUUGUUCUCAGUUCGGAUNGUAGUCUGCAACUCGACUACAUGAAGCUGGAAUCGCUAGUAAUCGUAGAUCAGCAUGCUACGGUGAAUACGUUCCCGGGUCUUGUACACACC
rnacentral:rRNA from 1 species